AUGCUCACGAGCUUCAAGUUCAUCAUUCUUCAUUCUCGUAUUCUUCUCCGGUGGAUUAAUUUCAAGCUUUCAGUGUUGAUCAUAUUCCUUUCCUCGUGUCAAAUGCUUUCUCAUGCCGUUGCACCUCUUAAUCUUUCACUUCUCGCUAUUCAUUUGUUCUGGAGUGCUGAAGAUAUCUCGGAAGACUUGUGUUUCCAUUCUCAAUCAGUUCAAGAUAUUUCGAGGUUGUUAUCUCAUUCAAGCCAUUUAAUUCAACCGGUGCAAUCUCUCUUCAAAAUUAUUUCAAUGGUGUUCCUUUUCAGUGGGCCCUAA
rnacentral:rRNA from 1 species